rnacentral:rRNA from 1 species
AUUGAACGCUGGCGGCAUGCCUUACACAUGCAAGUCGAACGGCAGCACGGGAGCAAUCCUGGUGGCGAGUGGCGAACGGGUGAGUAAUACAUCGGAACGUGCCCAGUAGUGGGGGAUAGCCCGGCGAAAGCCGGAUUAAUACCGCAUACGACCUGAGGGUGAAAGCGGGGGAUCGCAAAACCUCGCGCUAUUGGAGCGGCCGAUGUCAGAUUAGCUAGUUGGUGGGGUAAAGGCCUACCAAGGCGACGAUCUGUAGUUGGUCUGAGAGGACGACCAGCCACACUGGGACUGAGACACGGCCCAGACUCCUACGGGAGGCAGCAGUGGGGAAUUUUGGACAAUGGGGGCAACCCUGAUCCAGCAAUGCCGCGUGCAGGAAGAAGGCCUUCGGGUUGUAAACUGCUUUUGUCAGGGAAGAAAUCUUCUGGGUUAAUACCUCGGGAGGAUGACGGUACCUGAAGAAUUAGCACCGGCUAACUACGUGCCAGCCGCCGCGGUAAAAC